UUUUCCUUCCCUCUUUCCCGCGCAUCUCCUUUUUUUAGCAUACACAUAGGAAGUGCGGAGCGGGGACAGGGUUCGCCACGGCGGCGGUCUGGUUAUGAAAGGGGAGAGAGUCUAGAGUAGAGGGCUGGUAGGCGCGGAGCGGGACCUAGCGGGUCGAGGCGGCGAGGUGCCGGGCGGGGUGACGCGGCGAGGGUCCGGUCGGGGCGAGCCGGCGAGGGGACGGGUGGGGCAAGGCGGCGAGGUGAAGAUAAAGGGGCAGACAUGGCGUAACCACUGGAUCAGUGUGGUACCAGCGCUUCCCGCACCACCGGGACCGGUACAGCCGACCCACUGCCGCAGCACGGUGACCGCCACUGAGGUAGACGCUGCGGGAGUUGAGCACGACGGCGGGAACUGGCACCAUCUGCCACGGCGGGGGCGACUAACUUACUGUUGGCCUAAACGCACGACAACAUGCGGUGACGAUGGUAGGUAUUCCUACUGUUAACCUUCUUUUCGUAUAGCUGAAAGAGAUCGGUAGUUUGGACACGGACGAUGAGCCUUGUGAUACUACCUAUGUUUAUGGCGGCGGCGGCCAAGGUGGAAGAGUAAGUGAAAGAGGAGCACCUAGAGGUGUUGCUAGAUGAUAGGUUUAAGAUCUUUUAUCGCUUCUUGGUGGUCGAAACACACGAGUUGUUCUUUAUUUAGGAUCUAGAGAAGUGCUUCCGUCCUUGUACCACAACGGAGUUCAGAAGCACAACGUCUGCUACUUCCCUACAAACCCCCUAAGAAAAAGUCGGUCAGUGAUAACUCAUUGGUCAACCCAAGAACUACAAUUGUACCACCAUGUACAAAACCACAUUGUAAAACCACGUACAUAUCAAUUGUACAAAACACUACAUCUUUUGAGAUCAACUGGAUGUAGUUAUAUAUCCACGAUUAAUUCUACAAAUGAGUCAAUCUACAUCGUUUGAGACCGGUCGCACGGAUAAAAAACAGUUUGUAAACUACCGACCACUACAGAACCGUAGAUAACAUACGUACACUGCUAACUAUAGAUAGAUAUAUAAACUACAAUAAAAGU
rnacentral:rRNA from 1 species